rnacentral:rRNA from 1 species
CCUACGGGUGGCAGCAGUGAGGAAUAUUGGUAAAUGGACGAGAGUCUGAACCAGCCAAGUCGCGUGAAGGAUGACUGCUCUAUGGGUUGUAAACUUCUUUUAUAUGGGAAUAAAAUGUUCCACGUGUGGUCUUUUGUAUGUACCAUAUGAAUAAGGAUCGGCUAACUCCGUGCCAGCAGCCGCGGUAAUACGGAGGAUCCGAGCGUUAUCCGGAUUUAUUGGGUUUAAAGGGAGCGUAGGUGGAUUGUUAAGUCAGUUGUGAAAGUUUGCGGCUCAACCGUAAAAUUGCAGUUGAAACUGGCAGUCUUGAGUACAGUAGAGGUAGGCGGAAUUCGUGGUGUAGCGGUGAAAUGCUUAGAUAUCACGAAGAACACCGAUUGCGAAGGCAGCUCACUGGACUGCAACUGACACUGAGGCUCGAAAGUGUGGGUAUCAAACAGGAUUAGAUACCCGGGUAGUC